rnacentral:rRNA from 16 species
AUAACAAUGCCAGGCGCGUUAGUGUCUGGUAAUUGGAAUGAGUACAAUCUAAAUUCCUUAACAAGGAUCCAUUGGAGGGCAAGUCUGGUGCCAGCAGCCGCGGUAAUUCUAGCUCCAA